rnacentral:lncRNA from 1 species
GCAGUUGAAGUAGAGGGGAAAGUUCUAGUUUAAUUGACAUUAGCAGUAGUUGUCGUACUUGAGGUAGGAUUUUGUUUGAAUGAUGGAGUAAUGCAUAAAUAUUAAAACUAAUUUAAAACAGGGAAAUUUUAAAUUAUCAAAAGUCCUCAAGUAUCAGAAAGUUUUGAAGUAUUAGAAAGGUUUGAAUCAGUUUGAAUGAGUUUAAAUUAGUUUGAAAAAUUAAAUGAUAAAUCAUCACUGAGUGACUUUAAAAUGUGAAAAAUUUAAAUGAAUAACAAUCCUAAAUACACCCAAUAAUGUCCUCAAUGAGCUUAAAUUUCAAAGCCCUGAAUGGUUUCUGUAGGUCAAAGGUCAUGUGAGGAGAUAGGGGCUGAAGUUUUUUCCAACGCUCUAGGAAAGGGUUUUAAGUGUCAUCCCAAUUGCUAUGUGUACUGAGCCUGGCUUCAUGUGUCUCAUAUGGCCACUAGAAGCAGCUUUCCAGUCAGCUGUGUGUCUCCAGGUGCACAAAUUGGUUGCCAUGGGGACCUUGGAUGCAUAACUAUAGCAGGAGAAAGAAGGCUUGAAGCUAAAGAAACAGGACUCCAAGUAGGCCCUGACGCUCACCCUCUGUAUAUAUUCAUAAGGAGCUUGUGAGAACACAAGACUCUGCUGAACACAUUAAUACAAUUUAUUAUCACAAUCCUCAAAACACCCCAUAAUAUCUUCAAUGAGCUGAAUUUUUGAAGCCCAGAAUGGUUUCUGUAGCUCAAAGUUUGUGGGUGGAGAUAGGUGGUGAAGCAGACACAUAUUAACUGUGUGUACAAGCAGCUGAACUGCAAGGUGGACCUCAAAAAGCAAUAAGUACAAGAAUGUGUGUGCGUGUGUGUGUGUGUGUCUCGUUAAUGACUGCAUCCUAAACAGCUGUGAGAUCAAAGGCAAAUCACUAACCUACUGUUUGACUGAGAGGUGCUGAACUGGAGUGAAUUUCAGCCUGUGAACUUCUUCACAUAGCGUGAUUUCCUUAAGUCCCAGAAUGAAAAUAAGAACAUCGUACGAAUCCUCCGUCCUUCAUGAACACAAUGAUGUCUUUUUCAUGUCUGUACUCCGAAAAAUGUGGCCACAACAGCGAGUUAAAAAAGUCUGAGCCUCAGUGGCGAUAAGGAUUUUCUUGGAGAAAAAAGACAUUAGGGCCAAUGGGGACAGUUUUCCGCCUAUUUGGACAGUUGGUCACCUGCUGGCCAAGGGGUAGGAUUUAAUGAUUUGAAACCUCUUUUGUGAGAAGGAGGACACAUAUACCUCCAUUUUGAUGUAUUUUUUAUGGCUGUAGAGUGAGAUUUGUGGGCAUGGGAGUGAUAUAUUCGAGCGAGGUUUUGUCGAUCAGAGACGAGGUCUGCACUGUAGCUUUUCAAAUCAUCACUCUAGCCUCUCCAAUACACCCCUAUUAUAAAGCCUGAAAUCUGCUGAAAACCACGAGUUGCAUAAAGCUUAAUUGUGGAAAAACUGUAAAAGAUAGCAGAAAAACGUUAAUACAACAUCAAUAGUCGACAAGACAAUGAACAUUUUAAAGCAAAAAUGAGGUCUCUAGGUGAAAGUAUGCUGAAGUUAUAAGGCUUAGAAGGUGGACGAAUAACAGGAAGAAUUGAAAGAUUUCCCCAUUCAUUUGUAUGGGAAAAAAAGUUUGGCACAAAAAGUGAAAAAUAAUAAAAAGUAUAAAGGGUAGAAAAGAGAAAAGUAAUAGCCAUCAUGUCCUGAAGGAGUGGAAUAGUUUAAAGUUUGAAUGGUUGAAAUCGGACAAAGUUUGAAGGAGGAGAAGCGGUCCAAAGAAACGUAAGGGGAGAGUGUUAAGUAUAAUACUAGAAAAAUUGCAUUUCCUUGCAGAAAAUGCGUGGAAAUGCUGAGUGCUGAAAGCUGAAAAAGCAAUGCUAAACUGCUAAUAAAACAUGGAGAAAGGUAUAAAUGUUAAAGCUGUUGAAGGGGUGAAAAGAAAUAUAAGUUGGAUAAUUGAUGAAUUGGUUGAAGGACAAAUAGUAUGAAUAUGCUCUAUAAAAGGAAAUUUUAUUCAUGCUGAAAGAGGCUAGAAAAAUGUCGAAAAUUGCACAAAGUUUGAAUGAAGAAGGAAAUUGCCUUAAAAGGCAGGAAGGUGGGAAGUGGCAUAACUUUAAUUUUUUAAGUAUUAGAAAGGUUUGAAUCAGUUUGAAUCAGUUCAAAUUAGUUUGAAAAAUUAAAUGAUAAAUCAUCACUGAGUGACUUUAAAAUGUGAAAAAUCUAAAUGUAUAUAAAUCCUAAAUACACACCAUAAUGUCCUCAAUGAGCUCAAAUUUUAAAGCCCUGAAUGGUUUCUGUAGGUCAAAGGUCAUGUGAGGAGAUAGGGGCUGAAGUUUUUUCAAGCGCUCUAGUAAAGGGUUUUAAGUGUCAUCCCCAGUGCUAUGUGUGCUGAGCCUGGCUUCAUGUGUCUCAUAUGGCCAUUAGAAGCAGCUUUCCAGUCAGCUGUGUGUCUCCAGGUGCACUAAUUGGUUGCCAUGGGGACCUUGGAUGCAUAACUAUAGCAGGAGAAAGAAGGCUUGAAGCUAAGGAAACAGGACUCCAAGUAGGCCCUGACGCUCAUCCUCUGUAUCUAUUCCUGAUAAGGAGCUUGUGAGAACAUAAGACUCUGCUAAACACAUUAAUACAAUUUAUUAUCACAAUCCUCAAAACACCCCAUAAUAUCUUCAGUGAGCAGAAUUUUAGAAGCCCAGAAUGGUUUCUGUAGCUCAAAGUUUGUGGGUGGAGAUAGGUGGCGAAGCAGACACAUAUUAACUGUGUGUACUAGCAGCUGAACUGCAAGGUAGACCUCAUAAAGCAACAAGUACAAGAAUGUGUGUGUGUGUGUGUGUGUGUGUCUCGUUAAUGACUGCAUCCUAAACAGCUGUGAGAUCAAAGGCAAAUCACUGACCUACUGUUUGAAUGAGAAGCAGCUGAACUACAGAGGAUUUAGAGGCUCUAAACUUCUUCACAUAGCGUGAUUUCCUUAAGUCACAGAAUGAAAAUAAGAACAUCGUACGAAUCCUCGGCCCUUCAUGAACACAAUGAUGUCUUUUUCAUGUCUGCACUCCGAAAAAUGUGGCCACAACAGCGAGUUAAAAAAGUCUGAGCCUGAGUGGGGAUAAGGAUUUUCUUGGAGAAGAAAUACAUUAGGUCUAAUGGGGAGAGAUUUCCGCCUUCUUUGGACAGUUGGUCACCUGCUGGCCAAGGGGUACGAUUUAAUGAUUUGAAACCUCUUUUGUGAGAAGCAGGACACAUAUACCUCCAUUUUGAUGUAUUAUUUGUGUCAGUGGAGUGAGAUUUGUGGGCGUGGGAGCGAUAUAUUCGAGCGAGGUUCUGUCGAUCAGAGACGAGGUCUGCACUCUAGCUGAUGACAUCAUCACUCUAAACUCUCCAAUACACACCCAUUAUAAAGCUUGAAAUUUGCUGAAAACCACAAGUUGCUUAAAGCUAAAUUGUGGAAAAACUGUAAGAGAUAUCAAAAAACUGAGUACAACUAUAAUAAUCGACAAGUGAAUGAACAUUUUAAAGCAAAAAUGAGGUCUCUAGGUGAAAGUAUGCUGAAGUUAUAAGGUCUAGAAGGUGGAAGAAUAAAAGGAAGAAUUGGAAGAUUUCCCCAUUGACUUCAAUGUUAAAAUUUUUGCACAAAAAGUUAAAAAAAACAAAAAGUAUAAAUGUUAGAAAAGUGAAAAGUAAUAGCAAACGUGUCCUGAAGGAGUGGAAUAGUUUAAAGUUUGAACGGUUGAAAUCGCACAAACUGGGAAGGAGUUGAAAGCGGACGAAAAACGGCGGAAGAAUAAUAAUAAUAAUAAUAAUAAUAAUAAUAAUAAAGAAACGGGAGAAUAACAAUAAGUGGAAAUGCCUAUCAGCAUUUCCACUUAAUAACUAGAAAAAUUGCAUUUCCUUGCAGAAAAUGCGUGGAAAUGCUGAGUGCUGAAAGCUGAAAAAGCAAUGCUAAACUGCUAAUAAAACAUGGAGAAAGGUAUAAAUGUUAAAGCUGUUGAAGGGGUGAACAGAAAUAUAAGUUGGAUAAUUGAUUAAUUGGUUGAAGGACAAAUAGUAUGAAUAUGCUCUAUAAAAGGAAAUUUUAUUCAUGCUGAAAGAGGCUAGAAAAAUGUCGAAAAUUGCACAAAGUUUGAAUGAAGAAGGAAAUUGCCUUAAAAGGCAGGAAGGUGAGAAGUGGCAUAAGUUUAAAUUGUAGUACUAGAAGUAGUAUGAUAAGAAGUCAAGUCGUGAUACUAGUAGUCAUGUCAGCAGUAGAAGUAGAUUGAGAAUAAAAGAAGUAUAAGUCAAAGUAGUAAAGAAAGUAGAAAUAGGAGCAAUAGCAGUUGAAGUAGAGGGGAAAGUUCUAGUUUAAUUGACAUUAGCAGUAGUUGUCGUACUUGAGGUAGGAUUUUGUUUGAAUGAUGGAGUAAUGCAUAAAUAUUAAAACUAAUUUAAAACAGGGAAAUUUUAAAUUAUCAAAAGUCCUCAAGUAUCAGAAAGUUUUGAAGUAUUAGAAAGGUUUGAAUCAGUUUGAAUGAGUUUAAAUUAGUUUGAAAAAUUAAAUGAUAAAUCAUCACUGACUGACUUAUAAAAUGUGAAAAAUUUAAAUGAAUAACAAUCCUAAAUACACCCAAUAAUGUCCUCAAUGAGCUUAAAUUUCAAAGCCCUGAAUGGUUUCUGUAGGUCAAAGGUCAUGUGAGGAGAUAGGGGCUGAAGUUUUUUCAAGCGCUCUAGUAAAGGGUUUUAAGUGUCAUCCCCAGUGCUAUGUGUGCUGAGCCUGGCUUCAUGUGUCUCAUAUGGCCAUUAGAAGCAGCUUUCCAGUCAGCUGUGUGUCUCCAGGUGCACAAAUUGGUUGCCAUGGGGACCUUGGAUGCAUAACUAUAGCAGGAGAAAGAAGGCUUGAAGCUGAAGAAACAGGACUCCAAGUAGGCCCUGACGCUCACCCUCUGUAUAUAUUCAUAAGGAGCUUGUGAGAACACAAGACUCUGCUGCACACAUUAAUACAAUUUAUUAUCACAAUCCUCAAAACACCCCAUAAUAUCUUCAAUGAGCUGAAUUUUUGAAGCCCAGAAUGGUUUCUGUAGCUCAAAGUUUGUGGGUGGAGAUAGGUGGUGAAGCAGACACAUAUUAACUGUGUAUACAAGCAGCUGAACUGCAAGGUAGACCUGACAGCAAAAAGUACAAGAAUCUGUGUGUGUGUGUGUGUGUGUGUGUGUGUGUCUCGUUAAUGAUUGCAUCCUAAACAGCUGUGAGAUCAAAGCAUUAACUAACCUAUUGUUUGAAUGGAGAAGCUGCCGAACUGCAGUGAAUUUAG